rnacentral:rRNA from 1 species
AUGAAGUGUGUCCAGGUCGACUUAGAUAGCAAAGAACUGGUGAAGGCACUGAACAGCACGGACUCGGACCUAGCAGCCGAAGGUCUCCUCUUCAGAGAUAUACGGCAGUUUGCCCAACUGAACUUUAGCCAGUUUUCUUUCUCCUUUGCCCCAAGGGGUUGUAAUGCAUUAGCUCAUGUUGUUGCUGCGUUUGGUGCAAAGAGCCUGGUUGCUCGGGGUUUAUGGCCUGAAGGCCUCCCAGACAUUGUAAGUGUUCGAAGGGCCAGCGAACUGGCUGGACCUGGGUAA